CAGUCAAAAGAAGAAAUGGUAGAUUUUGUGCUCCAACUUUGUCGUAGGUACAUAAAACACAGGGAUAGUUAUCUUUUUUUUUCUUCUUUUUCUUUUUCUUUUUGGUAGUUG
rnacentral:ribozyme from 14 species